rnacentral:rRNA from 1 species
AACGAACGCUGGCGGCAUGCCUAACACAUGCAAGUCGAACGAGACCUUCGGGUCUAGUGGCGCACGGGUGCGUAACGCGUGGGAACCUGCCCUUAGGUUCGGAAUAACUCCCCGAAAGGUGUGCUAAUACCGGAUAAUGUCUUCGGACCAAAGAUUUAUCGCCUUUGGAUGGGCCCGCGUUGGAUUAGCUAGUUGGUAGGGUAAAAGCCUACCAAGGCGACGAUCCAUAGCUGGUCUGAGAGGAUGAUCAGCCACACUGGGACUGAGACACGGCCCAGACUCCUACGGGAGGCAGCAGUGGGGAAUAUUGGACACUGGGCGAAAGCCUGAUCCAGCAAUGCCGCGUGAGUGAUGAAGGCCUUAGGGUUGUAAAGCUCUUUUACCCGGGAUGAUAAUGACAGUACCGGGAGAAUAAGCUCCGGCUAACUCCGUG